rnacentral:rRNA from 1 species
AAGGUAGCGAAAUUCCUUGUCGGGUAAGUUCCGACCUGCACGAAUGGCGUAACGACUUCCCCACUGUCUCGACCAGGAGCUCGGCGAAAUUGCAGUACGAGUAAAGAUGCUCGUUAAGCGCAGAAGGACGAAAAGACCCCGGGACCUUUACUAUACCUUGGUAUUGGCGUUAGGCGCGGAUUGUGUAGCAUAGGCGGGAGGCUUCGAAGCGGGUGCGCCAGCAUUCGUGGAGCCGCAAGGUGAAAUACCGCUCUGUUCUCGUUUGACGUCUAACCUCGACAAGUCAUCCUUGUCAGGGACAGUGCCUGGCGGGUAGUUCAACUGGGGCGGUUGCCUCCCAAAGAGUAACGGAGGCGCUCAAAGGUCCGCUCAGCCCGGUUGGCAAUCGGGUGUCGAGUGUAAUCGCACAAGCGGGCUUGACUGCGAGGACGACGGUCCGAGCAGGGACGAAAGUCGGAGAUAGUGAUCCGGUGCCGGCGCACGGGCGCGGCAUCGCUCAACGGAUAAAAGGUACCCCGGGGAUAACAGGCUGAUCAUUCCCAAGAGUCCAUAUCGACGGGAUGGUUUGGCACCUCGAUGUCGGCUCGUCGCAUCCUGGGGCUGGAGCAGGUCCCAAGGGUUCGGCUGUUCGCCGAUUAAAGCGGCACGCGAGCUGGGUUCAGAACGUCGUGAGACAGUUUGGUCUCUAUCCUCUGCGCUCGUUGGAAUCCUGAGGAGGCCUGCCCAUAGUACGAGAGGACCUGGGUGGACGAACCUCUGGUAUGCCGGUUGUCGCGCCAGCGGCACGGCCGGUUGGCUACGUUCGGGAGGGAUAACCGCUGAAAGCAUCUAAGCGGGAAGCCUGCUCCAAGAUUAGGAUUCCGUACGGUCUUGAACCGUUGUAGCCCGCAUGUUGAACACGUGUUUGAUAGGCCGGAGGUGGAAGCCCCGUGAGGGGUGGAGCCGACCGGUACUAACGGGCGAUGGCGACACAAC